rnacentral:rRNA from 1 species
UACGUAGGGACCAAGCGUUGUUCGGAUUUACUGGGCGUAAAGGGCGCGUAGGUGGCGUGGUAAGUCGGGUGUGAAAUUUCGGAGCUUAACUCCGAAACUGCAUUCGAUACUGCGGUGCUUGAGGACUGGAGAGGAGACUGGAAUUCAUGGUGUAGCAGUGAAAUGCGUAGAGAUCAUGAGGAAGACCAGUGGCGAAGGCGGGUCUCUGGACAGUUCCUGACACUGAGACACGAAGGCCAGGGGAGCAAACGGG